rnacentral:misc_RNA from 1 species
CACUCACCGCCCUCCAGAUGAAACAAGGCGUCGGUAAAAUGUCGUAGUAAACAAAUAUGACAGUUGUUGUAGUUUUUGAGUUAUAAAAUUGUUAUUCAUUAUUUUAACAAUUUUACUCUUAUGAAAAUGGAGAAAGAGGCCACGCCGUUAGUUUGUAAGGAAGUCCUAGAUAUUAGUAAUAUCCUUUGGGGACCAUCAGUAAAGAUAGAUGUAUUCAGGAGAUGGGCACAAGGUUUCCAUUUCAGUAAUGAAGAACCCACAGCACUUUUACAGUGUGAAGGAGGACCCUGUGCAGUCCUUGCCCCAGUUCAAGCCUUUAUAGUCAAAACUCUACUAGAGUCUGAUUCAAUUGCUGAGUGGAGGCAGGCAGGUUCUGAUAGCUGUAGCAAACUGCUGGUAAAGGCAGUUUGCGACAUUUUAAGUCAAGUGAAAGAAGAACCAGAUUGCAGAUAUCAAUUAGUUGAGCUUCAAGUUGUCAAGGAAAGUUCUGAUCCAGACACAAUCGGCUCCCAACCAAACACCACUACUUCAAGUUCUAGCUUGAUUAAUGGACUAUCAAAUGAAGUUAGCAAGGAUGAUAUUCAGCUCAUUGAAUCGUCAAUCAGCUUAAGACAAAACCUGUCACCUGAUGAGUUCCACUCUCAAUUGAAAGUUUUAACUGUAGACAGUAUUGAAGCUGUGGAACACUUUUACAAUGAAAGAAUAAGUAUGCUACAAAACACUUACGGAGUAUUACUUUUAUUGUAUGCAGUUAUUUGUUCAAAGGGCAUUGAUCAAAUUCAUGAAGAAAUGUCUGAUCCAAAUGAAUCUCUUAUUGAUGUCGUUCAUGGCUAUGGGAACCAGUCUCUCAUCAACUUAAUGUUAACUGGCCGAGCAGUUGGGCAUGUAUGGGAUCAUGAGCAGGAUGUUGGAGGCCUUAAGUUGCGAGGCUUAAUCAAGCAAAAUGAUGUAGGCUUUUUAGCUUUGUUAGAACACUUGCGCUAUUGUGAAGUUGGGUCCUUUUUCAAGAAUCCCAAACAUCCAGUUUGGGUCCUGGGCAGCGAAACACAUUUAACUGUCCUAUUUUCUUGGGAGAAGAGCUUAGUUAGUCCGGAAACAGCUGGUGAAGUAGCUCGCCGCGUUUUCAAGCGUUAUGACCCUGAUGGAAAUAAUUUCAUUCAAUCUUCAUCCCUUCAAGAUGUUUUACGUGACUUGGAUUUAGUCUCUGAAACAGAAUAUGUUGACAUUAUGCGUCGGAAAUUAGAUCCAGAGGGCCUAGGAAUUAUCUUGUUGUUGGCAUUUAUGGAUGAAUUCUAUGCCGAUGAGAGGAAGACCACUCCUGAUGUCUUCACUCUGUUUCAUUACAAUGGUCUACCUCAUUCAUGCCCAGAUGGUCGAGUUGUGUACCAAGAAGGCUCUGCUAUCCUUCUUGAGACUGAUGUACAAUCAAUAUUGGAAAGCAAUCCUAUACAGACUGUUCUACAAACUAAAUGGCGAAAUAUUGAAGUCAAUUGGAAAUCAGGUGUCUCUCCAUCAUUGAAUUAGUAAAUUGCCUCACCUCAUUAUGGUUUUCUCUUGGCCAAAGGCUGCAUGAAACAAAAUAUGCAAAUGAGAAGACAACCGUGUGUCAGUGCACACAAGAAUGAACAAGUAAAUGAAGGGACAACUUAAACACAGGGUGACAUUGACACGUCUUUUUAUGACUCCAUUGUGGCAAGACCACCAAUUGAACUUCAGCAAUUCUAAAGUUUCUAUAAUUGGUGCCUUUUUCAGAUAAAUGUAUGUCUAAUUUCUAAAUGAUUAGGUAGAAAUGUUGUACGUUUACUUAGGAUGGAUUUUCACUGGAAACCAUGAUUUUCUCCAUAGCAAAGAACCACAGUGAUAAUGCUAAUGCAAUGGUAACAUUUUGAAUAAAUUGAAAUAUUGAUUGAAUAGAAAUCAUAUGAAGAGGCUGUUUCUUUAUGAACAAUUUGGUUGUCUGCUUAAAUUUACUGUGGAAAUUUGUUUGAAGUCUUCAGUACUUAAAGUAGUACCUCUAGGAGUGAAAUCACCCCAAGCUGUGUGCAUGGCUAUCUUUAUUAUGUUUAUUAGAUUCAACCCUGUUCCUGCUCUUUAAAAUUUAUCUUAGAAAUUUCCAGCUCAGCUGUAAAUUUUUAGGGGAUCAUUUGUGACAAGUUAACAGUGUUUGGCUAGAUGUUUUAAUUUUGUUUUCUGGUCAGGAAAAGAUCUCUGAAAUGAAUUGUUUUUUUGUUUGUUUUUUAUUGUCACUUUGGUUGGCUGUUAGUACAUAGUUCUCUUCUGUUUUUUUUUCUGGUGCAUGUGGAAUAUUAAGAAAACUGUACAUUCAUGUAUUUGUCAAUCUUGUGUCACAAUAAUUUCAUCAUACGUCUUUUUUUUCUUGCUCAUGCAGUCAAAUUGUACUAACUUAUUGUUUACUUAUUCAAGUGAAUUUUUAUAGUAUAUUUUUAAAAUAAAGAACCAAAUAUUCUGCCUGAA